GCAGUGGCAGGACUUGAUGACAGCAAAGCCGCCCAUGGCUGGCCCUGGGGCUCCCCUUUAAAACAAAGACCGGUUACUUUGGAGACAAGCACAGAUAACCAGGCUUCAGGCUACUGUUGAAACCUCUGGAGUGUCUGGGACCUGAGACUGCUCCCACAAUGUGGCAACACUUGUGCAAUAAUGAAGGGAAAGGAGGCUGGGGAGGGAGGCUGCCCGCCAGCCCCCACUAGCUGAGCUCCACUCGCCUGCUUCUUUCCAAGGCAGGCAGCUGAUAUGAACCAUACAAGGCCCCAUGAGAAAGGCCAUGAAAGAUCGUUACUGCUGCUCUGCUUGUGGGGAAGCUGGCCCAGAGAGGUUAAGUGACUCAUCUUGGAUCACAUAGCCUAUCAAGACCAGCUGCACAUUCAUCAUGUCUGCCACCUGCAAAGAAGCCUGGAGAUGCCAUGGGCCUGAAGUCCACAAAAGGCUGUCCUGUAGAAGCAAUAGUGCACUCUGCACAAGUGUCUGGCUCUGGAGACAGGGCUGUCCAGAACCAAAUCUUGUUCCUACCACCCUCAAGUUGUAGGACACAUGGCUUAAUCCAUGAGACUCACUCUCCUCCUUCAAAAACUGGAGAAAAUAUUACUCACUUCAUGAGGGUUUUGGAAAAUUAUAUAUUUCUCUUUCUUUCAAUAAACAUGUAUUGAGAUUUAUUGUGUGCCAAAGAGGUACAAAGAUGAACAUGUCACCGUCUCUGCCCUUGAGCCUAAAGUCUACAUAUAAAUCAACAAAUAGUAAAAUACAAUGUGGCUAGGGCCAUGAUUCCACACACACAUCUGGAGAUACUGAGGAAAGAGAGACUAACGGGGGGUGGGCACACUUCGGUACAGGGAUGACCACUCCAUUGACUCGGACUCUGUCUCCCAACUCCUGCCCCCACGGCAGACAUCACUAAUCAGUCACAGCACACUUUAACACUGGGCCCAGUCAUAACCUCAGGAUCUCAGGGGGACUGAGGUACUGAAGGGUGAAUAGGAGCUUGACAGGUAGACACAAUGAGUUGGAAGGAUAUUUGGGGAAGAGGAAACAGCUUUGAAAAGACAUGGAAGUGUAGAGGAACAUGACAUGUCUUGGCAAUGGGGGAAAGUUUGGUGUGGCUGGUACCUGAGCUUCACCAGAGAGAUGAGGUGGAAGGCGUUGUCAGGCUGGAGUGUGAGGGGCUUUGAAACCAGCCAGACCCAACAGCAGAUGGGGACAGUGGGAGGAUUUCCUGCAGGAGCAGGCUGUGAGACUUCCAAUCUGGCCCUCUUCUGAGGACAGAGUCAGGCCAGGAGCUACUGUAGAGACUCCAGCAUCCUUGGGACAUUAAGGAAGGGAGGGGGCAGAGGAAAGACUAAGAACUAGGGUCUGAUCCUGGAGCAGACACCAGGCCACUGAUGGCCCUGACCGUCAGGCUGACCUAGAAAACUCCCACUGCACAGAAGCAGCAUGGUGGGCUCAGGAGUAGCAGUUCACCCUUCAUGCUCUUGUUCCAAAGCUUCCACUUACAGGCAUCUGACCUCCUGGGAGGUGAAGACCCGAAGCCUCACUUUCCAGUGGGGAAGGCUUGAAAUUUAGAAAGCUCAGUGAGCCUGCUGUCUCUGCACACAGCAGCUCUGAGGCCGAGGACAGGCAGAAGGAAGGGUUUCCAGAGGUGUGGAUGCUGGAGCCUUGGCCCUAAUCUCGGCAGGGAGGACUGCGAACAACGCCAAGGAGGAAAAGCCACGGAGGGGCCCAAUGGGCAGCAAUGGGUGGCAGCACCCAAAGCAGAAGGCAUUGGCCACCCAGAGGAUAAGGUUUGGGGCUUUUGUUUGCAAAGCCCAGGCUCUUAAUAGGUCAUUGU